rnacentral:rRNA from 1 species
AUGCAAGAAGAAGAAGGAGAGGAUGAGGCUGGUUCUCAACCUAUGGAACCCUAUGUUGGCAUGAGGUUUGACAGCCUUCAAAUUGCUAAGGAUCACUACAACAGCUACGCACUACGGAUGGGUUUCUCUAUCAAGAUGAACACAUCUAGACGGACACCCCACACCAAUGAAUUGAUAAAACAACAGUUUUGCUGCAACAUGGUCAAGAAGCCCAAAGCUGAUGAUGAAGGAGCUGAGGCUCCUCCUGUCCUGGACCCUAUUCUAGAUCCAAAAUCUGUUGACAGUGAUGAGGAGAUGGAAGACGAACCUCCAAUAUUUGCUGAAGAGGAGGCUGGUACUAGUAAGAAGAAGAAGAAGCGCAAACGCAAGACAAUAAAGCGGACUCAGUGCAAAGCGAAAAUGUUGGUGAAGCUGAUAGAUGGGUGA